rnacentral:lncRNA from 1 species
GCUCCGUCUGCCGGCAGGUGGCAGCACCGCGCGGCUGGGCGGCACCCGGAACCCGACUGUGAUGCCUCUCUAUGUAUCGCUUUCCGUUCCCACCGUCGUGCAGAAGUACUACAGCCUCGUGCCGGCCUGCAGGCGCGGAGAGCACGAAGCGAAACACGUCUGCAGGUACCACGGCCGGCAAGCGGGAGAGGAAGAGCUGGAGUCCGCCGAAGACAAGAAAAGUGCGGCUUCUGCAGCAUCCAGUCGAGCUAGACCUUGGCAGCAACGUACCAAGAAAGCUUCCAAAGACAUCUACAUCGAAGUCUCUCCUGGUAUUUAUUCUAUCACAGCAACUUCAGAGGACAUGGUGAAACAAACCCACGUGGUGGACGUCAGUGCUGGACAAAGCAUUGAUUUGACUUUUGUUCUAUGACGUUCAUCUUUUGCUGGCAAUCAUGGGAAUAAAAUACUAGGAUUUUUUAAAGCA